GCCGGGCGCGGUGGCGCGUGCCUGUAGUUCCAGGUACUCGGGAGGCUGAGAUGAGAGAGGAUCGCUUGAGCCCAGGAGUUCUGAACUGUAGUGCGCUAUGCCGAACGGAUGUUGUUCGCACAAAGUUCGGCAUCAAUAUGGUGACCUCCCGGGAGCGGGUCCCCACCAGGUUGCCUAAGGAGGGGUGAACCGGCCCAAGUAGGAAACAGAUCAGGUCAAAAUUCCCGUGCUGAUCAGUAGUGGGACCAUGCCUGUGAACAGCCACUGCACUCCAGCCUGGGCAACAUAGGGAGACCCCGUCA
rnacentral:SRP_RNA from 1 species